GGGAUAAAAGUCACUCAGAAUAGCCAAGGAGACUGCCUGUAAGCCGAUUGCAUUUCCACCCAAAUGAAAACCUCAAGGACACAGGCAAGUCAUCCUUGGCUACCAAAGUACCACUCUUUUAUCU
rfam:Musa acuminata subsp. malaccensis Doubled-haploid Pahang (DH-Pahang) genomic chromosome, chr11